UUCAAGCUCAUCUAAUUGCUUCACACUAGCAAUUUCAGGUUUCAGUACAGUGUUCUGCUGUCUACUUGAUCAACUGGUAUAUACAAAGUUGGAGAUGAUGUUUUGAUUACUCUGCAUCAUAAUAGUGAUUAUUUCUGCUAUUUUUCAAGUUCAAGUCUGCACAAAGGCUACGUUGUGAGAUUGAUGUGGCUGACUUCGGACAGGCAACCUAGUGCUCCGACUGUCUCCUGGGAAAUCAACAGUCCUGGCAGAGAGACAGAAGAUUGAUAUAUCUAUCAUUCUCAUCCCCAAAAGUCUGUCAGAAUGAUCAUAAAAAUUAAUUUAGAACAUAAAGCAGAGAAACUGAAACCAGACAACUCACAGUGCUAUUGUGUUUCUGGAUCAUUCUCUCCUCUCCCCUCCUGAAGACGAUUUUUUCCACAAACACUGUAAUUUUUGGUUACACAGAGAGCCUCUAUAUUUGUGUGUGUGUGUCUCAUGUGAUUUUGCUAGUUCUCCCCAACAAUAGUAGGAUCUUGUCUGCCACCUCUAUUGAUCUCCUGAGCAGCAUAAUGAGAAAAAGAGCAGGUAUUCCAUCUGCCUCACACCCAAAGUGAAAAUAGCGACGUAGGUAUAAUGCCCAGCAAUUAGAUAGGGAGGGGGCAUUUCUGCAGCAGACCUUGUGGAGCUGAGUAGAUCGUUAUCCCUGACUAUGUCAUCCCCCUAAAUUGUCCACGUGGGAAGUUUUGUUUUAGGAGAAGAAGGAAAAUACCACUUCCAAACUGGAACAACUGAAGAUGGCUCUAGGUUACCUUUUGUAGAGAGCUGGAUAUGAGAUGGAGGCAACUUCAUGAAGAUACAAUCCUCAAAACAGUGAAGCAUCUUCAUGCUGUGGCAAGUAGGAUGUGAAGAUGAGCCCUAACAUACUUCUAUGGGAAGGGCAAAUCCCUAGAUUUUGUUUAUCAAGAUUACAGUUAUGUAAUGAUGGGUUUUAACUAUCAUGAUUUUCAGCUUUAUAACUGGGCAUACAUUUUGACUUCACUUUCUUUGUGGAAUGUAAGUGAUCAUUUCACAAAACCAUUAUUAACUCAGUUAGAAAGAUACUAUCUUACCCCACUGACUUUAUGGCAGGAGGUUAGUUCUACUUUUAUCCAUAGCUGUAUUCUUUUUUCUUCAUUAAAGUUAGCAAAGCACAUUUGAAAAAUGUUGGGACUCAAGUCUAAUAUUAAACAUUAUUCCAAUGACAAACAUACCCUUUGGGACAAUCUGAAAAUAGUAAGUAAACCUUGAUUUUAGAAGUCAUAAGCAAUCAGCAGUAUUAAUGUUUGAGAGCAGGUUAUUGCUAUCAUAUUUUCAAGCAAUCUGAGUUAUUAGAAGAAAAAUUUGGACUGCCUAGCAUUGAAAAAUAGCAGUAUAUGCAAUUAAAACAUACCUUGAUUUUAUAAUCUGGCCCAGAUGCAUUAUCUGUGUCUAAAAUUCCCACAUUUCUAUCAGUACUAUGAUGUGCUCUAGGUGAUUUAAAGUCUACAGUAUUUCUAAACAACAGUUAAAAGUAUAACUAAGCUGGAAAUUACUUAUUUGCAAGACCUCAGAAUAAACAAUUGUAAUAUCUCAUAUUAACAAACCAGAGUCUUAAAGUACAUUAAGUAGGUUUCUUAUGAUUUUAAGAUGAGAUCUGAUCAGCAAAAGAUUCCUUGCACAUUUAUUGUGAACCCAGAGAAUAUUUUGAAAAUGGCAGGCUAUAAAUUUUAUUCUGUUGGAAGUGGAAAACGAGUGCAGGGACACUUACUCAUAUGAUAUGGGUUUGCCUUAUUGUUCUGUUUUUAGUUGGUGUUGCAAAUAUCAGCAUAGUUUAAAGAUGCACAUUACAUGCCCAAAAAUAUGGAGCAUUAUAUGAAGAAUUAUGGAUUUGUCAAUCAGCACCUCCCAAAAAGAGAAUAUCUUUUAAUGUUGGAAAGACUACAUCUGUUUACAUCUGUUUCCUAUCAGUUUAUGAGCUUUAUCAAUAUAAUGCAGAGAGCGAUCAUAUUACAUUAUGUGAUCAAGUUUUAAAGAUUUGGUUACAAGCUACACUGAAUUAAUUCAUGUACAUGAGUGUUUUGAUUGUUUGGUUUUUGUAAUUUUAAUUGUGUGAAUCGCCCACAAUCACAUAGGCAAGA